GUCCUUUUGAGUUUAAUUUAAGGUCUGACCUGCCCACUGAAUUUUUGAAGGGCCGCAGUAUUUUGACUGUGCAAAGGUAGCAUAAUCAUUAGUUUUUUAAUUAAAAGCUUGUAUGAAGGGUUGGACGAGGUAAAUUCUGUCUCUAUUUAAUUUAAUUUAGAAUUUAAUUUUUAAGUUAAAAAGCUUAAAUAUUAUUAAAAGACGAGAAGACCCUAUAGAUCUUUAUAUUAAAUUAAUUAAUUUUAUUUAAGAAUUAUUUAUUUUUUAAUAAGUUUAAUAUUUUAUUGGGGUAAUAAAAAGAUUAAUUUAAUUCUUUUUUUAUUUUUACAUUAAUAUAUGAUUAUAUGAUCCAAUUUUAUUGAUUAAAAGAUUAAGUUACCUUAGGGAUAACAGCGUAAUUUUUUUAAAGAGUUCAUAUCGAUAAAAAAGUUUGAGACC
rnacentral:rRNA from 1 species